CCUACGGGAGGCAGCAGUGAGGAAUAUUGGUCAAUGGGCGUAAGCCUGAACCAGCCAAGGCGCGUGAGGGAGGAAGGGGCGAUGGAUCGUAAACCUCUUUUAUAAGGGAAUAAAGUGUGGGACGUGUCCUAUUUUGUAUGGACCGUAUGAAUAAGGAUCGGCUAACUCCGUUCCAGCAGCCGCGGUAAUACGGAGGAUCCGAGCGUUAUCCGGAUUUAUUGGGGUUCAAGGGUGCGUAGGCGGCCUUUUAAGUCAGCGGUGAAAGUCUGUGGCUAAACCAUAGAAUUGCCGUUGAAACUGGGGGGCUUGAGUAUGUUUGAGGCAGGCGGAAUGCGUGGUGUAGCGGUGAAAUGCUUAGAUAUCACGAAGAACCCCGAUUGCGAAGGCAGCCUGCCAAGCCAUGACUGACGCUGAUGCACGAAAGCGUGGGGAUCAAACAGGAUUAGAUACCCGAGUAGUC
rnacentral:rRNA from 1 species